CCUACGGGUGGCAGCCGUGGGGGAUAUUGCACAAUGGGGGCAACUCUGAUGCAGCGACGCCGCGUGAGUGAAGACGUAUUUCGGUAUGUAAAGCUCUAUCAGCAGGGAAGAAAAUGACAGUACCUGACCCAGAAGCCACGUAUAAAUACUUGCCAGCUGCCGUGGUUAUACGUCGGGGGCCAGCGUUAUACGGAUGUACGGGGGGUAAAGGGAGCGUAGACGGUUAUGUAAGUCUGUAGUUAGAGCCCGGUGACACACCCCGGGACGGCUUUGGAAACUGUUUAACUGGAGUACAGGAGGGGCAGGCGGAAUUCCUGGUGUAGCGGUGAAAUGCGUAGAUAGCAGGAGGAACACCGGCGGCGAAGGCGGACUGCUGGACUGAAACUGACGUUGAGGCUCGAAAGCGUGGGGAGCAAACAGGAUUAGAUACCCCUGUAGUC
rnacentral:rRNA from 1 species